rnacentral:rRNA from 1 species
AUGGACGACAUGGCACCGCCCCUGUUGGAGCCGACGGUCAGGGACUGGUCGCUGAUGCCCCUCGACGCCCUCGCCUCGAUCUUCGUCAGUCUCGGCGCCGUGGAGGUCCUCAUGGGCGCCGGCCUCGUGUGCCGCUCGUGGCUAGAGGCGGCCAAGUUGCCAGAUGUGUGGCGAGCCGUGGACAUGCAGAACCAUGAGGUCGUGUUCGAGAAGGACGAUUUUGUCCUGUGCGCAAUGGCGAAAGCGGCUGUGGACCGUUCCGACGGACAGCUCCGGGUGUUCGCCGGGAUGUCCUUCGUCACCGAUGAGCUCCUACAGUAUAUCUUCGAAAGGUCGCCCUCACUGACUACCCUUCGGCUUACAUGGUGCGACGUCUUCAGGACACGACCCAUCAAUGUGAUAAGAGAGUCACCUGUGCUGGAGCUGCGUACCCUCGAACUCGACGGCGCUUACAUGAACGCCGGAGAACUGGCCGACGUCCUUGCGAGAUGCCCGCUCCUCGAGGUUCUUGGGUUGCACGACUGUUUCCAGAUCAAUGAUGAUGGCGAGCGUGCGCUGCGAGAGAAAUUCGCCAGGAUCAAGAACCUAAUGAUCGAGUGGCGUGCUGAGCCCAUCCACAUCUACAGUUCCGAUUACGGGAACGACGACUGUGUCAGCGUUCCUGAUUUUGAAGAUGAGUGCAACGAUUACGGAAACUACGACUGCGAGUGCUUAUUCAACUUUCAAGAAUUAGGCCAAUGUGACAAUCCGACUUGCACUCAGCAGUUCCAGUCCCAGAGGACGGAUCGAUCGUCGAUGGACAACGUGGCGCCUCCCCUGUCGGAGCCCCCGGCCAGGGACUGGUCGUUGCUGCCCCUCGAUGCUCUCGCCUCGAUCUUCGUCAGGCUUGGCGCCGUCGAGGUCCUCAUGGGCGCCGGCCUCGUGUGCCGCUCGUGGCUGGAGGCGGCCAAGUUGCCAGAUGUGUGGCGAGCCGUGGACAUGCAGAACCACGAGGUACUGUACGAGGAGAACGAGUUUGUCCUGUCGCACUCACUGACUACCCUUCGGCUUACAUGGUGCGACGUCUUCAGGACAAGACCCAUCAAUGUGAUAAGAGAAUCACCUUUGCUGGAGCUGCGUACCCUUGAACUCGACGGCGUUUACAUGAACGCCGGAGAAUUGACCGACGUCCUUGAGAGAUGCCCGCUCCUCGAGGUUCUUUGGUUGCACGAUUGUUUCCAGAUCAAUGACGAUGGUGAGCGUGCGUUGCGAGAGAAAUUCGCCAGGAUCAAGAACCUGACGAUCGAGUGGCGUGAGGAGUCCAUCUACACUUCCGAUUACGGGAACGACGACUGCGACAGAGUUCCUGAUUUUGAAGAUGAGUGCAACGAUUACGGGAACUACUACUGCCACUGCGACUGGGUGAUGGCCCAAGGUGUGGCCCUUGUGCCCCAACCCAUGUGUGUCUGUGAUAUAACCAGACCCGACUAG